CCUUAUUGCUGUCUACAACUACCUUUGAAAUGAGGUUGUAGCUAGGUGGGAGUGGGCCCCUUCUCCCAGGAAACCAGCGAUAGGAUGAGAGGAUAUAGCCUGAAGCUGUGCCGGGGGAGGUUCAGGUUGGACAUUAGUAAGUGUUUCUAUACAGAAGCAUGAUUAGAUACUGGAAAGGACUGCCGAGGGAGAUGGCGGAGUCACCAUCCCUGGAGGUGUUUAAGGAAAGACUGAACAUGGCACUUGGUGCCAUGCUGUAUUUGACAUGGUGAUGUUUGGUCAUAGUUUGGGCUCAGAUAAUCUCAGAAGCAUUUUCCCGCCUAAUUCAUUCUGUGAUUCUGUGCUGUGCAACCGUGGGCAUGUGCUGCAGCAGCCGGGGGAGCACGUAGGGCAAUGCCAUGGCAGGGCAGAGCAGCGUUGGAGGGAUGUGCAGGAUGGUGCCGUGAAGGGCACAGCACAGUGCGGGGAUGCUGUGCUCUGCACACUCGGGGCUGCAGAGUAGUGUUCCUGUAGGAGCGCCUGCAGGGCAGCCUUGUGGAGGGUUGAGCUGGGCCCUACAGUGCUGUGCAGCACCAUCCCAUGCCGAGGAGGGGGUGUGGGGUGCACAACAAGUGGGGCAACCCCAGGCAAGCAGGGUGGUGUGUGAAGGAGCGGCCUGGCUGCAGUGUUCUGCUGACAGCAGGAGUGCAGGGGCCUCCUGGGCUCAGGGCUGCUGAAAGUCCAGUUGUUCUGUUAAAUAUAAACCUGCCAUGGCUCUCACCCAGCUGACUGCUCCUGUGGCCGUGGCAGGCGUGCACUCAAUGAGCAAGCAAGGCAGAAUCCUACUGAGCAGCCUUUUCCCCUGCCCAGACCUACACCAAGAUGGCCACAGUUUCCCUUAGCUUCAACAUCGACUCCCCACGCUGGGACCAGAGCACCUUUGUGGGGCGCCUGAAGCACUUCCUCAACAUCACCGACCCUCGGACAGUGCUGGUGCCGGAGGAGGAGCUGGACCAGGCCAAGGCCCUGGUGGAGGGCUGCAGGGCCGGGCUGGUGCCACCAGGAAGCAGCCAGGAGCAGCUGCUCUAUGCCAAGAAGCUGUACGACUCAGCCUUCCACCCUGACAGCGGUGAGAAGAUGAACCUCAUUGGGAGGAUGUCAUUCCAGGUGCCGGGGGGCAUGGCCAUCACCGGCUUCAUGCUCCAGUUCUAUCGGACAGUGCCUGCUGUGGUUUUCUGGCAGUGGGUGAACCAGUCCUUCAAUGCCUUUGUCAACUACACCAACCGCAACGCUGCCUCCCCCAUCUCUCUGAGGCAAAUCGGGGUGGCUUAUGUCACGGCUACCAGUGCGGCCCUGGCCACCGCAGUGGGACUCAACCUCUACACCAAGCGAGCUCCCCCCUUGCUGGCCCGCUGGGUCCCCUUUGCAGCUGUGGCUGCUGCCAACUGUGUCAAUAUCCCCAUGAUGCGGCAACAGGAGAUCAUCAAUGGGAUCACAGUGACAGAUGAGAACAACAAUGAGCUCGGCCGCUCCAGGAGGGCAGCAGUGAAGGGCAUCGCACAGGUUGUGAUCUCCAGGAUCACCAUGGCAGCACCGGGCAUGAUUAUUCUGCCCAUCAUCAUGGAGCGGCUGGAGAAAUUCACCUUCAUGCAGCGGAUCCGGGUUCUCCACGGGCCUCUGCAGGUGUUGCUCUGCGGGGGCUUCCUCCUGUUCAUGGUGCCAGCAGCCUGUGCCCUCUUCCCCCAGCGAUGCUCCCUUGCACUGGCUGACCUUGAGGUGGAGCUGCGUGACAGUAUCAUGGCCAAGCACGGGGACAAAGUGCCAUAUGUCUAUUUUAACAAAGGACUGUGAAUGGAGACUACCUCAGGAGCCAUCACACCCCUCUGGCCUCCUGCCACCACCAUUCCCACAUUCCCUGAGCAGGGUCAGAGGCACAGUCCAGCCCAGCUCCCCACCCCAGCACCUUCUCUGCAGCUUUCUUCCACUGUAGAAUCAGGAUCUGACUCUGUGUGUCCAGCUUGCAGCACUUUGGCUUGUCCUGACCCAUGCCCAUCUGCUGCUGGCCAUGUCUCAGCCUUUCCAUGUCCCUCUUGCCCUGAGGGAUGCCUGCGCUUCCUGUGCCUUCCUUUGGCCCAGCCUGUCUGGGCCUCACUGGGUUUGGCCCCAAGAGGCAUGAGGCCCUCUCCCUUGGGGCUCAGAGCACAGUUCUACCUCCAGAAGCAGAUAUCCUGCCACUGUACCAGCAACCAAAGCACAUUCCUGCCUUAAACUACCACAGUAGCUUCUUCCCAAGAGAUGGAUCAUGUCUUGGCAGGUGUGAAGGGACCUGUUCUCUCUGCACCAUGAGAGUGAGCAUACCAAAGUCCAGAGACCAAUGCUUGGACUAUGCAUUCCUUGCUCUCAGGUUCAGGUUCUAUUCACUCUGUGUUUGCCACAAGCCGGAAAAGAAAUAGCUAAUUGUUUUUAGCUCUAUUUUUUUCAUUCCUCUGAGCACUGUCACCCUUGUCCUACAUCUCUGAUCCCCACAAUGAAACCAUGAAACUGCAGCUUUAGGGGACAAUUGUCUCUGUGCCCCCUUUGACAUGGGGAAGAAGACACAGAAAUCACACAAUUGUUAGGGUUGGAAAAACCUCUGGAGAUAAUCUAGUCCAGCCCCCCUGCUGAGGCAGGGACAGUGGAGCAGGUUACACAGGAAUGUAUCCAGUCUUCUCUUUUUCCAGACUGAACAGACCUGGCUCUCACAGUCUCUCCUCAUAAGAGAUGCUCCAAAUCCCUCAUCAUCUUUGUGGCCCUCCACUGAACACUCUCCAGUAGCUUCUGUCUUUCUUGUCGCAGAGCUGUCAAGGCAUUCACUCAGGCUCUGAAUUCACUCAGUGCUGAUGCACUGCAAACAGCAGAGGAAGGUUGAAAAAUAAAUGUGGAGCUUUUUAA